rnacentral:piRNA from 2 species
UGAAUAGAAGAUACGAAUCUCUAAGAGGUA